rnacentral:rRNA from 1 species
CUCGAGGCCAGAUCUUUCCGGUUGAUCCCGCCGGAACUGACUGCUAUCGGAUUGAUACUAAGCCAUGCGAGUCUUUGUAGCAAUACAAGGCAGACGGCUCAGUAACACGUAGUCAAUCUACCCUAUGGAUGGGGAUAACCUCGGGAAACUGAGAAUAAUACCCGAUAGAUCAUUAUGCCUGGAAUGGUUUACGGUCGAAAUGAUUUAUCGCCGUAGGAUGGGACUGCGGUCUAUCAGCUUGUUGGUGAGGUAAUGGCCCACCAAGGCUAUAACAGAUACGGGCUCUGAGAGGAGAAGCCCGGAGAUGGGUACUGAGACACGGACCCAGGCCCUAUGGGGCGCAGCAGGCGAGAAAACUUUGCAAUGUGCGAAAGCACGACAAGGUUAAUCCGAGUGUUUUCUGCUAAAGAAAUCUUUUGUCAGUCCUAAAAACACUGAUGAAUAAGGGGUGGGCAAGUUCUGGUGUCAGCCGCCGCGGUAAAACCAGCACCUCAAGUGGUCAGGAGGAUUAUUGGGCCUAAAGCAUCCGUAGCCGGCCGUGUAAGUUUUCGGUUAAA